UGUCCAGGGAUGGGAAUCGAACCCACAGUGUUCCGCUUACCGGGCAGAUGCCAUGUCCACUAGGUUAACCUGGAC
rnacentral:tRNA from 1 species